rnacentral:rRNA from 1 species
AUUCCAGCUCCAAUAGCGUAUAUUAAAGUUGUUGCAGUUAAAAAGCUCGUAGUUGGAUUUCUGGUCUGAGCGUCCGGUCCGCCGCUGUGCGGUGUGUACUUGGUUCGACUCGGGCCUUCCUUGUAGGGAAUGUUUCUGGCAUUAAUUUGUCGGGGGCGGGAACUGCAUCGUUUACUGUGAAAAAAUUAGAGUGUUUAAAGCAGGCAUUUGCUGUGAAUACAUUAGCAUGGAAUAAUAAGAUAGGACUUUGGUUCUAUUUUGUUGGUUGGAGGCCAAGGUAAUGAUUAAUAGGGAUAGUUGGGGGUAUUCAUAUUUAAUUGUCAGAGGUGAAAUUCUUGGAUUUAUGAAAGAUGAACUUAUGCGAAAGCAUUUACCAAGGAUGUUUUCAUCG